AUCCGGUUGACGAGUCCUAAAUAGGACGAAACUCGAGUUCUGGAU
rnacentral:hammerhead_ribozyme from 1 species